ACGGGAGGCAGCAGCUAAGAAUAUUCCGCAAUGGACGAAAGUCUGACGGAGCGACGCCGCGUGGAUGAUGAAGGUCGGAAGAUUGUAAAAUCCUUUUUUAACUGAGGAAUAAGCGUUAUCAGAGAAAGGUAAUGUGGUGACUGUUGGUUAUGAAUAAGCAACGGCUAAUUACGUGCCAGCAGCCGCGGUAACACGUCAGUUGCGAGCGUUGUUCGGAAUUAUUGGGCGUAAAGGGCAUGUAGGCGGUUUUGCAAGGUUGAUGGGAAAGGCAGGAGCUUAACUCCUGGACUGCGUUGAGAACUGCAUGACUAGAGUCACGGAGGGGCAAUCAGAAUUCCUGGCGUAGGGGUGAAAUCUGUAGAUAUCAGGAAGAAUACCAAUGGCGAAGGCAGGUUACCAGCAGAUGACUGACGCUGAGGUGCGAAGGUGCGGGGAGCAAACAGGAUUAGAUACCCUGGUA
rnacentral:rRNA from 1 species